AAGGCGGUAUCGGAUCUCGAACCGCACUUGGAGUCAGGUGCCUUUAAUACCGUAACAGUUGACGGAAGGCAAUGCGUAUUCUGCUCUGAGCCGCUUGGACCGAGACAGAAGG
rfam:Paenibacillus beijingensis strain DSM 24997, complete genome.